GAUGAAGAACGUAGCGAAAUGCGAUAAGUAAUGUGAAUUGCAGAAUUCAGUGAAUCAUCGAAUCUUUGAACGCACAUUGCGCCCGCCAGUAUUCUGGCGGGCAUGCCUGUUCGAGCGUCAUUUCAACCAUCAAGCCCCCGGCUUGUGUUGGGGACCUGCGGCUGCCGCAGGCCCUGAAAACCAGUGGCGGGCUCGCUAGUCACUCCGAGCGUAGUAAUACAUCUCGCUUUGGGCGUGCGGCGGGUUCUUGCCGUUAAACACCCCCUUUUUACCAAGGUUGACCUCGGAUCAGGUAGGAAUACCCGCUGAACUUAAGCAUAUCAAUAAGCGGAGGA
rnacentral:misc_RNA from 1 species